rnacentral:rRNA from 1 species
AACGAACGCUGGCGGCAUGCCUAACACAUGCAAGUCGAACGAGACCUUCGGGUCUAGUGGCGCACGGGUGCGUAACGCGUGGGAACCUGCCCUUAGGUUCGGAAUAACUCCCCGAAAGGGGUGCUAAUACCGGAUAAUGUCUUCGGCCCAAAGAUUUAUCGCCUUUGGAUGGUCCCGCGUUGGAUUAGCUAGUUGGUAGGGUAAAAGCCUACCAAGGCGACGAUCCAUAGCUGGUCUGAGAGGAUGAUCAGCCACACUGGGACUGAGACACGGCCCAGACUCCUACGGGAGGCAGCAGUGGGGAAUAUUGGACAAUGGGCGAAAGCCUGAUCCAGCAAUGCCGCGUGAGUGAUGAAGGCCUUAGGGUUGUAAAGCUCUUUUACCCGGGAUGAUAAUGACAGUACCGGGAGAAUAAGCUCCGGCUAACUACGUG